rnacentral:rRNA from 1 species
AACGAACGCUGGCGGCAUGCCUAACACAUGCAAGUCGAACGAUGCCUCCGGGCAUAGUUGCGCACGGGUGCGUAACGCGUGGGAAUCUGCCUUUCGGUUCGGAAUAACUCAGGGAAACUUGAGCUAAUACCGGAUAACGUCGCAAGACCAAAGAUUUAUCACCGUAAGAUGAGCCCGCGUAGGAUUAGCUAGUUGGUGAGGUAAAGGCUCACCAAGGCGAGGAUCCUUAGCUGGUCUGAGAGGAUGAUCAGCCACACUGGGACUGAGACACGGCCCAGACUCCUACGGGAGGGAGGAGUGGGGAAUAUUGGACGAUGGGCGAAAGCCUGAUCCAGCAAUGCCGCGUGAGUGAUGAAGGCCUUAGGGUUGUAAAGCUCUUUUACCCGGGGAGAUAAUGACGGUACCGGGAGAAUAAGCCCCGGCUAACUCCGUG